rnacentral:lncRNA from 1 species
AAAAAUGUGACUAUUAUAUUGGAUGAAUAAUUUGCAGUUCUGGCCAGUUGUUGGAUGGGUAAAUCACCAAUAUGUACCACUUCAGUUCCGGGUUAUAGUCCAAAGUGUUGUUGCAUGUUUCUGGUAUGUUGUUUUCUCCCACUUGGAAUUUUUCACGUUACAUUCUAGAGAACAAGUUUAUCCUUGAUUUCACUUCUAUUACGACUAGAGUAACUUUGGAUUUGCAAUAUCAGUUUUUAUUUCAUUCCUUUCAUUGAUUUUCCAGGGGAAUAUUUUUGAACCUGCGAGCAAGGUCUAUGCCGCUAAAAAAAGGUUAAUGAAGUCGUGAGAAAGGAAUUUGCAACAAGUACGAUUAUGUAGUCUCUGGACACUUGACUUUGCCUCUCUUAACUUGUAUUUUUCUUGAGCAGUUUAGACGUAAAAUCUGAAUGUCGAUGCUAUUGCGUAUCUGUAAGCACUUUAUUAUGCCGAACUAUUUAUUUAUCCAAGCUGUGGUAGUAAUGGCUUUUUCGAGAAUAGUCUUUUUUAUUUUUUGCCUCAGAAAAGAAAUGGUCCUAUAAUUUGCAAUAGUUUGGCCUUCAGGGAUUGAAUUUAUGUCCUGAUGAUAUUCAAUUUGUCACUGUCCAUGAUGUGAAAAGGGUAA